ensembl:misc_RNA Metazoa_SRP Metazoan signal recognition particle RNA
GCCAGGCACAGUGGUGCAUGCCUGUAAUCCUAGCUAUUCAGGAGGCUGAAUCAGGAGGAUCACUUGAGCCCAGGAGGUCAAGGCUGCAGUGAGUUAUGAUUACACCACUGCACUCCAGCCUGGGCAACAGAGCAAGACCCUGUCUCUU